CGUAAAAAGCCGCAAAAAAUAGUCGCAAACGACGAAAACUACGCUUUAGCAGCUUAAUAACCUGCUCUGAGCCCUCUCUCCCUAGCUUCCGCUCUUAAGACGGGGAUCAAAGAGAGGUCAAACCCAAAAGAGAUCGCGUGGAUGCCCUGCCUGGGGUUGAAGCGUUAAAUCUAAUCAGGCUAGUUUGUUAGUGGCGUGUCUGUCCGCAGCUGGCAAGCGAAUGUAAAGACUGACUAAGCAUGUAG
rnacentral:tmRNA from 1 species